GAUGGCUCAGUCAGUAAGAGUGUGAGACUCUCAAUUUCAGGGUUGCGGGUGCGAGCCCCACAUUGGGUAAAAUA